rnacentral:snRNA from 1 species
AAACGUAAGGGUGAUCUGGCUGUGACAUUUGUCACCCCAUUGAUCGCCAGGGUGCAUUCAGCUGAUCUGUCUGGCUAGCAUGUGUCCCCUUCCUCCCUCACUGCUUCAUGUGUGUCCCUCCUGAAGCUGCAUACUUGGUUGAAAAACAUGACCUUUCCCAAUAAAGGAGGACUGUUCUUUGGUCAAAGGUAUACAAGUAUCUGUGCUCCCCUGCUAGAAUCUCCACACCAGCGCUCAAGGUGAAGGUCUCACUGUGCGCUACAUGGUGAGAGUAGAUGACAUCACACAGCCAUCAGCCCUGUU